ACAACAGUUGGAAAACGACUGCUAAUACCGCAUAAGCGCACAGCUUCGCAUGAAGCAGUGUGAAAAACUCCGGUGGUACAAGAUGGACCCGCGUCUGAUUAGCUGGUUGGUGAGGUAACGGCCCACCAAGGCGACGAUCAGUAGCCGGACUGAGAGGUUGAACGGCCACAUUGGGACUGAGACACGGCCCAGACUCCUACGGGAGGCAGCAGUGGGGAAUAUUGCACAAUGGGGGAAACCCUGAUGCAGCGACGCCGCGUGGAGGAAGAAGGUCUUCGGAUUGUAAACUCCUGUUGUUGAGGAAGAUAAUGACGGUACUCAACAAGGAAGUGACGGCUAACUACGUGCCAGCAGCCGCGGUAAAACGUAGGUCACAAGCGUUGUCCGGAAUUACUGGGUGUAAAGGGAGCGCAGGCGGGAAGACAAGUUGGAAGUGAAAUCUAUGGGCUCAACCCAUAAACUGCUUUCAAAACUGUUUUUCUUGAGUAGUGCAGAGGUAGGCGGAAUUCCCGGUGUAGCGGUGGAAUGCGUAGAUAUCGGGAGGAACACCAGUGGCGAAGGCGGCCUACUGGGCACCAACUGACGCUGAGGCUCGAAAGUGUGGGUAGCAAACAGGAUUAGAUACCCUGGUAGUCCACACCGUAAACGAAGAUUUCUUAGGUGUUGGAGGAUUGACCCCUUCAGUGCCGCAGUUAACACAAUAAGUAAUCCACUGGGGGAGUACGACCGCAAGGUUGAAACUCAAAGGAAUUGACGGGGGCCCGCACAAGCAGUGGAGUAUGUGGUUUAAUUCGACGCAACGCGAAGAACCUUACCAAGUCUUGACAUCCUGCGACGAUGCUGGAAACAGUAUUUUCCUUCGGGACGCAGAGACAGGUGGUGCAUGGUUGUCGUCAGCUCGUGUCGUGAGAUGUUGGGUUAAGUCCCGCAACGAGCGCAACCCUUACUGUCAGUUACUACGCAAGAGGACUCUGGCAGGACUGCCGUUGACAAAACGGAGGAAGGUGGGGAUGACGUCAAAUCAUCAUGCCCUUUAUGACUUGGGCUACACACGUACUACAAUGGCGUUAAACAAAGAGAAGCAAGACCGCGAGGUGGAGCAAAACUCAGAAACAACGUCCCAGUUCGGACUGCAGGCUGCAACUCGCCUGCACGAAGUCGGAAUUGCUAGUAAUCGUGGAUCAGCAUGCCACGGUGAAUACGUUCCCGGGCCUUGCACA
rnacentral:rRNA from 1 species